rnacentral:snoRNA from 1 species
AUUCUAUGAUAAGGGCACUUUCGUAAUAAUUAUUUGUACCUUUCCCAUACUUCAUACAAGGACUCAUCAUCCAAUUGUUGGAAAGUAGUGAUCUUGUUCCUCAACU